rnacentral:lncRNA from 1 species
UUUUUUUUUUUAAUGAUUAGGGAGUUGGUCCACGUUGGCUCAUCCUGGCAGCAUCACAGGCAUUGCCAAACUCUCGGAACCGCCCGUGGGGCUGGGGCCUGCCUGGGGCGCUCUGCUCCUCCUCUGGAGCUCCAGGGGCCCCAGCAAGAUGCUUGGCUUCCAUGACACGUGCUCCGAAGUCCCUGGUGAUGGGGCCUGCUCCAGAGAGAGAUGACAAUUUGGCUCAGAGAGUUGAGAGGACUCUGCCCAGGAUCACACCCCUGGCUCCCUCCAGGAACGGCAGGUCACAGUGAGGAGUCCAGCAUGUGGGAGAAUCUCCAACCAGACGGGUGCCUCUGCUGUGUUGGGAGAUUUAUGUCAUCCAAUAGUCACUCAACAAACACCCCAGGCAUGAAGCAGAGAGUCUGUGUCAUGGCAGGAAAGGGGUAGUCUUUGCCCAGAGACUGCUGUCACCAGGAAGCCUGACCUUUCCUUAGGACAGCAGGAGGUGGGAACUCAGUGUCUUUCAGGCCUCUGUGACCAAGCAGACCUGCUCCCCUGGGCUGGCCUGAGGGUGGCUGUGGAGGGGUGGGGCCCGGCGCUGGUGGACCCAGGACCUCGUGAGGGGCAGGUGGGAAGCAGAGUGCUGGAUUCUGAGCCCAGGGGCAGCCCGGGCAGGACAGGUCAGGAGGAGAGGGGCUGCUCAGGCUUCCUGGGGGGCUGGUUCUCCAGCUCUUUGCAGACCAGCAGGAACCCUCACGACCACCAAGAAAGUGUGCUGCUCUCUGAGGCGGGAGCCUGGGGAGGGCAGGGGCUGAUCCAGCCCGCUUACCACGCUCCCCUGCACCUGUCGCUAGGCUGUCCCAGUAAAUACGCGCUCAGUGAAGAUGUGGGGAGGAGAUUUGUGUCCCGUGUCCCCAAAUUCCCCCCAGAGCCCAAGAUCC